rfam:Salmo salar isolate Sally breed double haploid chromosome ssa04, whole genome shotgun sequence.
GUAUGCCAAGCUUGUAAGUCGCUCUGGAUAAGAGCGUCUGCUAAAUGACUUAAA